rnacentral:rRNA from 1 species
AAGAAUUUUUAAACAAAAUAAAUCUGACGGUAUUAACUUUUACAAAGGAAUUUGUUUCAUAAUCGACAACCCACGAUUUAUCUUACUUAAUAAUUAUCUGUAUACCACCGUAUUUGAAAUUAUUCUAAAUCAAUUUCCUAACAGGCUUCCCUAAAAAAUCAGGUCAAGGUGCAAUUUUAUUAAGACGAAAUGAAUUACAUUAAUAUAUAUUAAUUUAUAAUAAAUGAAAUUUUAUUAAAAAUAGAAUUUGUCAGUAAAAUUUUAUCAUUAUGUUUAUUUGAAAACCACCAUUAAUAUG